UCGAGAAUCUUCGGCAAUGAGCGCAAGCUUGACCGAGCGAUGCCGCGUGCGGGAUGAAGGCCUUCGGGUUGUAAACCGCUGUCGUAGGGGAAUAACUUCCCUGGGGUUCUCCCCAGGGAUUGAAUGAUCCUAGGAGGAAGGACGGGCUAAGUUCGUGCCAGCAGCCGCGGUAAGACGAACCGUCCAAACGUUAUUCGGAAUCACUGGGCUUACAGAGUUCGUAGGCGGUCUGGAAAGUUGGGUGUGAAAUCCCUCGGCUCAACCGAGGAACUGCGCUCGAAACUACCAGACUCGAGGGAGAUAGAGGAAAGCGGAACUGAUGGUGGAGCGGUGAAAUGCGUUGAUAUUAUCAGGAACACCGGUGGCGAAGGCGGCUUUCUGGGUCUUACCUGACGCUGAGGAACGAAAGCUAGGGGAGCGAACG
rnacentral:rRNA from 1 species